rnacentral:rRNA from 1 species
GACGAACGCUGGCGGCGUGCCUAAUACAUGCAAGUAGGACGCAGAUGUGAACGGGUGAGUAACGCGUAGGUAACUGCCUAUUAGAGGGGGAUAACUAAUGGAAACGAUCGCUCAUACCGCAUACUAGUAGAUGGACCUGCGUUGUAUUAGCUAGUAGGUAGGGGAAUGGCCUACCUAGGAGACGAUACAUAGACGACCUGAGAGGGUUGUUGGCCCCCCGGGGACUGUGAAACGGCCCCAACUCCUACGGGAGACAUCAGGAGGGAAUCUUCGGCACUGGUGCGAACCCUUACCGAGCCACGCCGCGUGAGUGAAGAAUGUUUUCGGAUCGUAAUGCACUGUUGUUAAAGAAGCGGUACUUAACCAGAAAGGGACGGCUAACUCCGUGCCAGCAGCCGCGGUAAUAC